rnacentral:rRNA from 1 species
UACGGAGGGGCUAGCGUUGUUCGGAAUUACUGGGCGUAAAGCGCACGUAGGCGGCUUUGUAAGUUAGAGGUGAAAGCCCAGGGCUUAACCCUGGAAUUGCCUUUAAGACUGCAUCGCUAGAAUCGUGGAGAGGUGAGUGGAAUUCCGAGUGUAGAGGUGAAAUUCGUAGAUAUUCGCAAGAACACCAGUGGCGAAGGCGGCUCACUGGCCCGGUACUGACGCUGAGGUGCGAAAGCGUGGGGAGCAAACAGGG